CUUAGGAACAGUAAUAAAGAGACAUAAUGAUUAACACCAUGGGCUUUACUGUAGUUGAUGGCUAUCAAUUUCAGAGUAGAAUGAAAAAGACAACUUGACUAGACGGAAAAUUAUUUUAAUCUCAUGUAAACAAAAGAUGAUCUGAACGUACUGUUCGCCAA
rnacentral:pre_miRNA from 1 species